GCAGCCUCAUUUCUUUAAGAAUAUUGUGCUUACGGGAGGAAAUACACUGUUUCCAGGUUUCCGUGAUCGAGUUUACUCUGAUGUCCGGUGUCUCACCCCUACAGAUUUUGAAAUGUCUGUAGUACAGUCUGAUAACCCCAUAACUUAUGCAUGGGAAGGUGGAAAACUGUUGUCAGAAAAUGACGACUUUGAGAAUAUGGUGGUAACUCGAGAUGAGUAUGAGGAACAUGGGCACAGUAUAUGUGAAGAGAAAUUUGAUGUCUAGGAUGAGCAGCCUGAAGUGUUAAGUGAAAGAUGAAACUGAUGGAACUCAUUGCAGACACAGAGGAAGAAUCUUAAGCUUAAUGAUUUGGUCGUGCAGUUUUUUUGAAAAAAAAACUUAGAUGAGAACAUAUUGAAAGCUGCUUUUUAAUCCAGUAUGAUGUCAUCUGCUUUCAUGAAAUAGGCUGAGAUGGCUUGUGUAUUUUUAACAUAAUUAUGGACUGCAUUUGAAUGUGUGAAACUACCAUUUUCAAGUUAAUGUUCAAGUUCAUCAGAAAAGAAGACCCCACCCAAAAGAUCAGAUUAUGUAUGCAUUUUGUGGAGUCACAGGGUCAUUGUUAUUAUUGUUUUUUUUUGCUUCUUGGAAAAUUUUCAAGUUUAGCUGGAUUGAGUCUGUAGAGCUAAAAUCCAGUAUAAUUUUUUUACAUCUAAGGAUAUGUGUUCAAAUCUCAUUAGUUAAUUUAUCCAUUUUCUCAUUACCUGUGUUUUUAUUCUUGUUCUCCUGCACAGAAAGAGAUGUAUAUACCCACUUGCACCCAGCAUUGCAUCAGGGAUCAAAUGCAAGUUAAAUGUGCUGUGUUUAGUGUAAGUUUCUAACUAAAUUGUUUUUAAGUUUGAAUGUAUGUAUAAAUUAAUUUUUACAGUA